AGGAGCUUUAUAACUUUUCUUCCCAACUCCUCAAUCUGGGAAGUGAACCUCAGAGCACUAAAGUUCACCCGGCAGCGCAGUUUCUGAAUCUCCAUAGGUUGACCAUUAUUGGCAAGUCGGGUGUCAGUUUUAUUUAGAUGCACAACUUUAUGUUUUUGAAUAAGAGGAAGGACCUGAUUAUGGUAGUAAGAUAUAUCAGACCAACUAAUUGGUGGCAUGGAAUAAAUCCUUCCCUGUUCCACUCUCUUCUUGAGCCUGGGAGGCAACUCCUUCAAUAUGCGCACUUCAUCUCUCAGUGAUGUAAUAAAAUGUUCCACAUCAAAUAUGUCCUGGAACUCACUGGGGUCAGCCCAGAAGGAAGUUUU
rnacentral:misc_RNA from 1 species